GCGGAAUUUUGGACAAUGGGAGCAAAGCCUGAAUCCAGCCAUGCCGCGUGCAGGAUGAAGGCCUUCUGGUUGUAAACUGUGUUUUGGUCCGAACGAAAAAGCUUCUCCUAGUACGAGAUGCGCCAUGUACCGUACCGUAAAAGUUAGCACCGGUUAACUACGUG
rnacentral:rRNA from 1 species